rnacentral:tRNA from 1 species
ACAUUGGUGGUUCACUGGUAGAGUUCUUGCCUCCCAUGCGGGAGACCCAAGUUCCAUUCCUGACCAGUGCA